GAUGAAGAACGUAGCGAAAUGCGAUACGUAAUGUGAAUUGCAGAAUUCAGUGAAUCAUCGAAUCUUUGAACGCAUAUUGCGCUCUCUGGUAUUCCGGAGAGCAUGCUUGUUUGAGUAUCAGUAAACACCACAACUUCCAUAUCUUUUUUGAAAUGGGAGUUGGACUUGAGUGAUCCCAACGCUUUUCCUCACCGAAAAGUGGCGGGUUACUUGAAAUGCAGGUGCAGCUGGACUUUUCUCUGAGCUAUAAGCAUAUCUAUUUAGUCUGCCUAAAAAACAGAUUAUUACCUUUGCUGCAGCUAACAUAAAGGAGAUUAGUUCUUGUGCUGACUGAUGCAGGAUUCACAAAGACAGCUUCGGCCGACUUUGUAAACUCGAUCUCAAAUCAAGUAAGACUACCCGCUGAACUUAAGCAUAUCAAUAAGCGGAGGA
rnacentral:misc_RNA from 1 species